GACGAACGCUGGCGGCGUGCCUAAUACAUGCAAGUAGAACGCUGAAGAGAGUAGCUUGCUCUUCUUGGAUGAGUUGCGAACGGGUGAGUAACGCGUAGGUAACCUGCCUGGUAGCGGGGGAUAACUAUUGGAAACGAUAGCUAAUACCGCAUAAAAUUGAUUAUUGCAUGAUAAUUAAUUGAAAGAUGCAACUGCAUCACUACCAGAUGGACCUGCGUUGUAUUAGCUAGUUGGUGAGGUAACGGCUCACCAAGGCGACGAUACAUGGCCGACCUGAGAGGAUGUUCGCCCACACUGGGACUGAGACAAGGCCAGACUCCUACGGGAGGCAGCAGUAGGGAAUCUUCGGCAAUGGGGGAAACCCUGACCGAGCAACGCCGCGUGAGUGAAGAAGGUUUUCGGAUCGUAAAGCUCUGUUGUAAGAGAAGAACGGGUGUGAGAGUGGAAAGUUCACACUGUGACGGUAUCUUACCAGAAAGGGACGGCUAACUACGUG
rnacentral:rRNA from 1 species